rfam:Loxodonta africana unplaced genomic scaffold scaffold_24, whole genome shotgun sequence.
AGCUGAAUUGAGCGUCGUAGCAUGAUUCUCCAAGUCGGCGGUCCCAAGUCAGGAUGUAGGGGGAGGUAUCACUGAGCUCGCGGCGCCAGGGUGGGUGGCAGCAACAGGCCAUGGCGGCAGUGGAGAGCAGGCGGGGGACCUGCCGCGACUCCAGCCGCAACGCCGAUGCCAGAAUAGGCCAGCCUCUCCCAGUAUCUCCGCGGUGCGCUUCC